rnacentral:lncRNA from 1 species
GUCACCUGGACCCUUGCAAAUGUCCUAGCCCAGGCCGAGACAAAGGAUCUCUGCCAAGGAGUUUUUUCCACUUGGAUUUGCACAGCCAGUAAGGAAACCAGUGCUGGGAUUGGAACAGCAUAAGCUUUAUUCAAUGGCCAAAGAAUGGAGAAGCAGGAACUUAGUUUGCAAAUCAACAUCUCAACCCUAUUUGGGAGGAAGCACCUUAUACAUAGGAGGGUCAAGGUAAAAGGGGGGAAAUUGGAAGGGGAGGGAGGAAUGUUCAUGGCUUAUCCCAGAAGUGAGGCAGUACUGCUUUUCAGUCUUGGUAGGGGGUUUUCUGGUUUUUUUGUUUUCCUCUUUGCAACUUCCUUCUGAAACUCAAUUGGUUUCCAUUUAAGGGACAAGGAGGGAUAUGAUUCUGGGGCAACAGCCUUGGUGACAGUUUUACAAAUAUAGUUGGGCACAUGACUAGUUAAUGGUCAUAUAAGUAAUAACAAAUCACAUUGAACCAUUCUGAGUCUCAUGACUACUUCUUUAGAAAUGUUCAAAGCAAACCAUUUGCAAUAUAAUUCUAUAUCGUUUCUUAAAAAUCAAGAGUAAAAACUUUACAAUAUAAAAAGGAUGGAAGAAACUAUAUCAAAAGUCAUAGAAGAACUUUACUUUCUACAAACAUGUUACUAUUGCUGAAGCAAAUAUCUUUUCAGAGACCUUAAGUGGUAAUGAAAACUCUACAUUUCCAGUUUAUAUGAUUCAGCUAAUUAAAUACUGCAUAUUAUCUUUGAAAAAGUAUGGAUUUAGCACAUUAAAAAAAGUUAAUGAUGUGAUAUGUCCUCUUCAUCAGCAGAUUCUUUUCAACGCAAUAUUCAGGAAUUACGUUGCUAAUUAAAUGGCUCAGUGUUUUUUCUUCAUUUCUUUUCUUUCUUUUUUUUCUUUAACAGACCCAAAGUGAACUGUGAAAAUAAAUAUUAAUUAAAAAUCUUGGGGUGCUUACCAUGAUUAAGAGUACUAAAUUAUGGUUUAUUCCCCUUGAUAUUCUUAUAAAGUAUUGAAACAUAUAUAAAAUAAAAAUCAAUAAAGAUAAGAGAAAGUCAAAACACCGUAGACCAGAAGACUUUAAAUUUGGCAGAAGUAGAGAUAGAUGAUAAAAACACAAUUUUCUGAGACUAGGCAGAGAUGACUGUUAUACCCAAAACUCUCUUUGAGAUUUUCUGCUAAUUCCAUAUGAAAUGUCUACUUCUAGAAAAGAAAAGAAAAAAAAAAAGAACUGUAUUUUGCCUAUUGGGUGGAAUAACUAGUGUCAAAUAACCAGUCAUAAUUUAAAAAGGGGAAAAAAGAACACUUUAGUAGCAUUUACAAGGUAAAAAUGAAUGACACCAAAUUUUUUCUAUAUUAAAAAAGGAAAUUUACAUUUUCAAGUAUAACACAAUACACGAACUUCUAGAAAAGUGAUAAAAACUUUGACAAAAGUAUGACAAAAACUUUUAGAGAUUCAGCUAUGUUUUUUCACCUAAGCCUUUGGAGGAUUUUUACAUAAUCUGAUAAAACCUUUUAUUUUAAGCCUGUAAUCUGAAUAUAUUUACUACUUUUAUUCAAUGAGUAUUUAUUUAUAUGCCUGUAUUUAUUAUCUAUUUUUGUCAUGAUUGUGUAUAAAAUUAUUUGCUGCCAAAGGAACAUUGAUAGAAUAUCAAUACGGAUUUUAAAAGACCUAAAAAUAUUACCAUGGCAUAUUGUUUAUAAUUCCAUUGUUUCCAAGUGAAUUUUCCACUAUAGUUUAUAUUCAUCUAUCUCCUUACUCAUGACUCUAAGUAUUUAAUGUCACAGAUUCAUUUUGGGUGACUUGUGAGCCCUGGAACACAAGAGACAUUAGCUUGAUUCCUGCUUGGCAUUAACUAGAAUUUCUAAUUAUUAGGCAUGGCUCAUCAAGUAAGUAAAUGUAUACAAGUAGACGUAAGUACAGUUAACUCCUCUAGGUGACCCCAGAUACGCCUUCUCUGAAUGAGUGACUGGGAAUCUCCCUGUGCAUAGAGGGCGUGGGGAACCUGUGAAGGUUCUGGCUCUUCCCAAUGCCAUUGUCCUGAGAAUACUACAGAGAGGGAUAGUGGUUCUAAACCAAAUGCUUUCUCUUUUAUCCUUCACCUCGAUUUGUAAAUAAACAUUUCGGUAGAAGCUGGAUUAUUUGUCUAGUACCCAGGAGCUAUCAACAGUUUAUGGCAGAGGAUAUUUUCAUUACAUUUUCUUUCCCUAGAUAUCUCACUUUAGAUUUCUGCACCUGUGCCACACGCUUUUGUGAAAAUGAAUAGUGUUUUCAAAACAAAAUGGAUUUAAUAUAGUAUUUUAUCCUUUGCCAGUUUAGUGUCAUAAAAGGUAGCAAGAUGAUUUUUUUUUCCAUCAUUGAAAUUCCACAGAUCAGAAAGCAUCUUUUACCAUAGAUUAUUAAGAAUGGGUGCUAAGAAUCCCAGUUUCUAUUUCCUAAGAUAAUUGCACCUCUGAAUUUUCACAUAUUAUUUGUAAACUCCUUGAUUCCUGGAACUGGGAUGCCUCUAUUACAACUUAUGAAUGAAAUAAUGAAUUGCAGGAGAAAAGUAGAUAUCUGGAGAAAGAUUUCUCUCUUUGUAAAUGAUUGUAAACUUACAAAACUAAAAUAAAAUGGACCAAACGUACAUAUAAAAUGAAUUAACAAGAAACAUCCUAAGAAAUUUCUAUUUGUAUUUUACACUUGACAUCAUUUCAUUUUUAGAUAGAAUUAAUUAUUGAUUAUGGAUAUAUAAUAUCUAUUAUUUAUAGAUAUAGAUAAAAUUAAUUAGGGGGUCUAAAAUAUCUUAGAAGAACUUUUCAUCAGAGGUAUUGAAAUAAAGUCAGUAAUUUACACAUUAAAUUCUUAUUUUUUUAAUAGAAAACCGGUCAUAUUUUUCUAUUAUGAUAAUACUUCUGUGACUUAGGGAAGAAGCACUCAGUUUUAUUUUUGGAAAUGCUAUUUGUGCAGAAUAGCAGCUUCAAAGGCUUAUAUGUUCUUUCAUAUAACUGUUGGAAAUGCAUGGGAAUCACUCAUUCUCCUUGAGUGAUGAAAGUAUCAAGAAUAUCGGUGUUUAAGAAAGGAGCUUGACUUUUACGCUGACUUUUAUCUUAUUAAAUCUUUGCUAUGUUUUGUACUACUGACUUCCUUUAAUAUUUUAGACCCAGAACUUAAGCACCAAGUCAAAGUUGUAAGAAAGUAAAUCUCUUCAGCACUUGUGUGUAUGUAUUCUGAAGGUAUUUUUAUUUCUAAACUUUUUACUUGAAUAUUACUUUAGAGGAAACAGACCUACUUUUCUUUUUGAUUACAGGAAAUCAUAAUGUGUUCAGGAUUAACAAUUCAGCUUCUCUCCCCCCACCCCCCCUUUUUUUUUUGGUGCAAAGUCGCCUUGUUCCCAAUCUGGGGAUUCUCACUAGCCAUCUCUCUCUCUAUAUAUAUAUAUAUCCCAGCCUUCCAGAUGUCCAAAGAACCCUUAGACAAAACUUCAAGGAAGGACUAGAAGGAAGUCUUAUUCCACACCCCUCUCCCAGGAAGUUUAAGAAUAUUGGUCCCAGCAUUGAUGAGGAAGAUAAGUGAGUAAUAUGGAAGGUGAGAGCAAUUAGAAAAAUGGAGUUUCUAGCCAGAAAUCUCACCAGAGCCUUUGGUGUCUUGAUCUUUUGGUGAUUUGCAUUUUGGGCCCAAAUCCUGAAGACUGAGUGCAUCAUCAUUGCUUCCUCAGAAGUAAAUUUCUAAGAGACAUUAUAUGAAUAACAUAGUUAUAGAUACUGUAAUAAUGGGCAUAUAAAUUUCUCUCUUGUUCUAGGCACGCCUUACCCCCCCUCCCCCACCAGCUUGUGUAUUCAUAGAAGCUAACCAAAAACAAUAAGGAGAACUUUGCAGGUGACUCCCUACUGACUUCAAUAGUCUGCUAAUUUGCCAAGCAUUUUAAUGGAACUUUCAUUAUAAUUAAGGCUCCAUAAGGAGGCCUUUUAAUAGAACAUUUACAUCAAGGAAACUGUGCAAAUUAGAUGGGUUCCAUAUUUGCUGAGGACUGUUCAUCAGCUUGGGGAGUGUUAAUAUUUCAUGCAGGUGUAGUUGCACAAAUAAACAAAAUUUAGGGUUGGAGAUUAUGAGACCACUACUACUUAUUUCUUUUCUAUAUUUACCUUCUCAAAUAUUACUAAUCAUCCACUCUGCUACCACCGCUAAUUAGCUUUCUACCUGGAGCAGAUUCAUGUUUUCUUCAUUUUAAAAUUAACAAGAAGUCUGGGAAUCAUGAAGCUUUUUCACUUCAUCAUUCUAGGUUAAAUGGUGUAUUUAUUAAUUCAAUUCUUGGGCAGACAACUUAUAAUGAGAAGGCUUCUUAUAUGUUUACACACAGGAAUGAUCACCCAAAGUGGGAUUUCUUACAUGGUUUCAAUGUAUUAAUGAUAUUGUAUACAGUCAGUCAUACCCAUACUCAUACCACAGAUACACCUGCCACCUAACUGCACAGGUGACACUUUAUACCAAGGUUCCUCUGCCUAGUGAGUACUUGACCUAGGUCUCUCAGUAUUUGCUUCUGUAACACUUUUUUCCUGUGCUGCCAUAAGCAUUCAAAACUUUUUUUUUUUUUUACUAAGGUAUAGUUGAUCUACAAUGUUUCUUCAAGUUCUGUUGUACAGCAAAGUGACCCAAUCACACACAUUUCCCUGUGCUGCACAGUAGGACCC